rnacentral:tRNA from 1 species
GGGGCAUUAGCUCAGUCGGGAGAGCGUCUGGUUCGCAAUCAGAAGGUCGGGGGUUCGAUUCCCCCAUGCUCCACCA